ACUUCAAAGAGGGAGAAAAUAAAGUAGAUCAUCAUCAAAUGAUGAAGAUUGCUCAUAUUGCCACCAUUCUUGUGUUGAUUCUAUCUUUGACUCAAUGCGAAAAGGCCAGGGCAAGCAAAAUUGAAGCGAUCGUGAGUCCGCGCAGAGAGGUGGACCAUGUCUGCGCCAACCGGGAACCAUUGACCGAAUGUACGGACGACCAAUGUAACCAAACGUGCAUUGAUAAAUAUAAGAGCAGGGAUAACGUCGCGAGGGGAGAAUGCGUCACGUGGCCGGACUUCAGGGUCGUUUGCAUUUGCACUUGGACUUGUUAGAAGGGGAAAAAAAAUAGAGAAUUUAAUAAAACCAAAAAAAAAAAAAGGUUUUAGUCUCAUGGUUACAAUGAGAAGAAAAUAAAUGGAUGAUAUAAAAAUCUCAUGGAUUAUAUCUGUGUUGAAUG